AUCAUGUUAUUCUUCUUUGUAUUAAUUGUUGUCAAAAAUAUUGCAGGUGCUGUUGAAAGCAGAAUUACACCAGACCAAAACAUCAUAUCUUCAAGUGAAGGCAGUAACAUCACACUGACCUGCACAUAUGAUCAGUCAGCUCUCUAUCUCUACUGGUAUCGAAAAAAACCUCAAUCAGGACCAGAGUUUCUGCUGCUGAUUCAUAAACCCACAGAUGGUGUCAUUGAAGCUGAACAACCUGACCCAAGACUAUCCACCAAACUCCGUAAGAAGCAGAACAAAGUAGAUCUGGAGAUCUUUCCUGCUGCAGUAUCAGACUCUGCACUGUACUACUGUGCCAUGGAGCCCACAGUGACACAAAACUGUAACAGACUGUACAAAAAGUCAAGCUAGAUAUUUGUUUCUCAGCAGGGGGCGCUGUUUAUCUGUUUCAUUUAAAUACAGUUUUCUUUCUUAAUUCUCAGACUUUGAUGUUUAUUUGUUUGGAAUAAAUAUUCUACCAAACCUUUUU